CAGUUCUUUUGUGCACAUAUACAAAGCUGACAUAAUACCCCUUGUACUUUUAAUAAGUGGGUUUGAAUUUUUACCUGCCGGUGUCUUUACUGUUGUGAUAGAGUCGAGGGCGCUAUUACAAGAACAAGAAGUACAGACAAUAUAAUAAUAGCCUUGUACAGGGAUACAAAUUGGACUGGAGAAUAUGGCGAGUGAUGUGAUGAGCUUGGCGUCUGCUAUGAAGAUGGGGUUAUCAUUGCUAACGGAACUAAUAGAGAACAGACAAAAUUUGGUGCAAUUGCUUCGAGGAGAAGCCAUGUCCAUGAACAAAAUGGAUAAAGAUGUAAAGAUCAGUAAACUAACUGGUAGUAUGGCUGGUGUCGUGGGGGGUGCCAUGUGGGUUGCAGGAAUGUUAGGAGCACCCUUGGUUCUAUGGGCACUAUGACUAGUAUUGGAGCCUCCAUUUGUAAAUACUUUAUUACUCAAAAGACACGCACGAAAAUGAACACUAUUCUGAAGAAUGACGAACAGUUGAUGACCAGACUGUUUGACUUCAUGGAAAUGGCGAAUGAUGUUGGGAGUUUAGAUAAUCAAAGUGCAGAAUGGGUGGUUAAACAAAUUUAUAUAUCGUUCUUUUUUCGUGAUGCAAUUGUCGAGGUUUCCGUAGCCCCUAAAAUGUUUGCGCAAGCCGCUAAAAAAAUGGCAAUAGCCAUAUCAAUGCCCUUUGAUAUAUACACGAUUAUAUCUACUUCAGUAGAUAUGUACAAAGGAAAACAGAAUGAAUUGGCUAUACAAUUCUUACAAAAGGCGAAUGAAAUAGAAGACACAAUAAAAGUUCUGACUGAACUGUCAAAAGCAAUUAAAUAGAUAGCUAGAAGCUAUGAAAAUAUAACGCCUCUAAAUAUUUAAAUAGCCAUUGCUAUAGGCCACACAGUCUUUAGAAUAUGAAUUAGAUUAUAGUGAGCACUAGUUUAAUAAUCUUGAUAAUGAAAAGUUGUGAAUGAAAUGUUCUGUAUUUCCAUUUUUACAAAUUUGAUUUAUUUCAUGUAUUAUAACAAUUGUUUUUUGCGUAUAAUAUUUGAAUCUCGCUUUCUCGCUCUCUUAUCCUUAUUUGUCUCAGUAAUUUCGUCUAGAGUACUUAAAAGUGAUAAUUAAAAAUGAAAUAAAGUUUGCACUUAACGGAAUAAGUCAAUGAUAUGGUACCCGAAGAUAAACGAAUUUAUAUUCAAAAUACAGCAUGCAUGAACUUGUAUAUAUACGUAAAUGUAAUAUUGUACAGAGUCGGUGUCUAAUGCUGUUGAUAUAUGUACAUUAUUAUACUAGUGUACAAUGGCCUUUAAUAAAUAAACUAUAAUCAAUGAUUAAA